CAAUUGCGUCACGUAUCUCCCUUUUUUCCUCUAUGAUUGAACACAACCUCCGUUCUGCCUCUCUCCCCCAUCUCCUUUCUAUUUACAUUCCUAGCCUUUCAUUCUACAUUCUUAUUUGUUACAUUUACAUAUUCAUUAGUCUUAUUCUAUUUUGAUUUUUAUGUGUUCUUAUUUGUUUAGGAUUAAGAAAGGGCUCCAAAGCGCCGCACUCAUGAUCAUGAAGCCUCCUCCUCCUGCCUUAGGAGGCAGACUCAGACAGCAGAACAGUGCUCCGACACCACUGCCUCCACUGGCUUCACAGUUCUCCCUUUGGCUUUUGUAAGACCUCUAACAUCAACAAUGGUACAACUCUCUCUCUAGAUGUGGAUAUAGUUGCUUUAUUAGAGAUUUUACCCAUUUACUGAGAGAUCACCUAGGAAUUUCUCAGCAGUCUCUCUAAUAUCCUAUACCUAGUCAGUAAUAAGGGGCACAUUAGAUUUCGACUUAUAGGUGUAGAGUGCCAGUAGAGUGCCAGUAGAGUGUACAAGAGGUAAAUGGUAUAUUUAGGUUUAGUGGUAAAGGCCAACUGUUGUAUUCCUUCUUUCUGGAUCAUGGAGGGGUCUUGGUUUCAUUUUACUAGACUAAAUGGGUAUAGUUCUAGCUCGUUCAAGUCCACUAGAUUACAGGACUCAGUCCUACGCUACACCCACAGGUUCAUAACACACUAUUUUUGGGAAGGGAUAGAGCAUAAGGGUAGUAAUCAAGUGUGAGUUAUUUUUCUAAUGGGCUAUGGAGCAAAGGACAUUGAUCAAUAUGGACCAUGUUUCGAGGUGUGAGGUGGAGAAGAUAGUAGGAGGACUAAUCACUGCAAUAACAGUCCACUUUGAUUUUGAUACAGCUGCAGUUAGACUGUGGAGAGCUUCUGGUGAUGACUGCAUAGACCUAGCCAUCUGUCAGUCUAUGUGGUUGUGUGCGAGAGGCCUCAGUAGAGUCAUUCAUCUACUUGAUACUAGAUGGCCAACCCUUACCUAGGAGACCACGCCUAACUGCGGAUCUAGUCGGCGAUCUGAUAGUUGAUCUGCUAACACCACCCAUUACUACUUCUCCACCAUCUGUCCCUAACCUAGCUAAUCCUGACCCACAACCAUCCAUGCCUUCCCCGCCAGCUACUGAGCCAUCUCCUGCAUUGAUUACAUUGGUGAUUUUGCUGCACCACUUCGACAAGUUCUUUGAUCACCUAGAGCAGCAAAUUGAUUCCUGCCUGAACAGUUUAGAGAGAUGGGUACGCAUACUGGAGGAAGACUGUAAUACCUGGCAUGCAAAUAUUGUGGAUCGGCUGAAGAAUAUUUUGAAUGGGCCAGUGAUAGGAGAUUUCUUAUCUUAUCUGUUACUUUUGUUUAUUUUCUUAUUUUCUGUAUAUUUUAUUUUUU
rnacentral:lncRNA from 1 species